rnacentral:rRNA from 1 species
GACCCCCAGCUUGCUGGGGUGAUUAGUGGCGAACGGGUGAGUAACACGUGAGUAACCUGCCCCUGACUCUGGGAUAAGCCCGGGAAACUGGGUCUAAUACUGGAUAUGCACCGUGGACCGCAUGGUCCUUGGUGGAAAGAUUUUUUGGUCAGGGAUGGACUCGCGGCCUAUCAGCUUGUUGGUGAGGUAAUGGCUCACCAAGGCGACGACGGGUAGCCGGCCUGAGAGGGUGACCGGCCACACUGGGACUGAGACACGGCCCAGACUCCUACGGGAGGCAGCAGUGGGGAAUAUUGCACAAUGGGCGAAAGCCUGAUGCAGCGACGCCGCGUGAGGGAUGACGGCCUUCGGGUUGUAAACCUCUUUCAGUAGGGAAGAAGCGAAAGUGACGGUACCUGCAGAAGAAGCGCCGGCUAACUACGUGCCAGCAGCCGCGGUAAUACGUAGGGCGCAAGCGUUAUCCGGAAUUAUUGGGCGUAAAGAGCUCGUAGGCGGUUUGUCGCGUCUGCCGUGAAAGUCCGAGGCUCAACCUCGGAUCUGCGGUGGGUACGGGCAGACUAGAGUGAUGUAGGGGAGACUGGAAUUCCUGGUGUAGCGGUGAAAUGCGCAGAUAUCAGGAGGAACACCGAUGGCGAAGGCAGGUCUCUGGGCAUUAACUGACGCUGAGGAGCGAAAGCAUGGGGAGCGAACAGGAUUAGAUACCCUGGUAGUCCAUGCCGUAAACGUUGGGCACUAGGUGUGGGGGACAUUCCACGUUUUCCGCGCCGUAGCUAACGCAUUAAGUGCCCCGCCUGGGGAGUACGGCCGCAAGGCUAAAACUCAAAGGAAUUGACGGG